CGAACGCUGGCGGCGUGCUUAACACAUGCAAGUCGAGCGCGAAAGGGACUUCGGUCCUGAGUAAAGUGGCGCACGGGUGAGUAACGCGUAGAUAACCUGUCUUCAUGUCUGGAAUAAUACGCCGAAAGGGGUACUAAUACCGGAUAUUCUUGCUUUUCAUAAGUUAUGCAAGCAAAGGUGGCCUCUGCAUAUGCUACUGCAUGAAGAGGGGUCUGCGUACCAUUAGCUAGUAGGUGGGGUAAUGGCCUACCUAGGCGACGAUGGUUAGCGGGUCUGAGAGGAUGAUCCGCCACACUGGCACUGGAACACGGGCCAGACUCCUACGGGAGGCAGCAGUGAGGAAUAUUGCGCAAUGGGGGAAACCCUGACGCAGCGACGCCGCGUGAGUGAGGAAGGCCUUCGGGUCGUAAAGCUCUGUCAAGAGGAAAGAAGUGUACAAUGGCUAAUACCUGUUGUAUUUGACGGUACCUCUAAAGGAAGCACCGGCUAACUCCGUGCCAGCCGCCGC
rnacentral:rRNA from 1 species